AGAGUUUGAUCACGGCUCAGAUUGAACGCUGGCGGCAGGCCUAACACAUGCAAGUCGAACGGUAGCACAGAGGAGCUUGCUCCUUGGGUGACGAGUGGCGGACGGGUGAGUAAUGUCUGGGAAACUGCCCGAUGGAGGGGGAUAACUACUGGAAACGGUAGCUAAUACCGCAUAACGUCGCAAGACCAAAGAGGGGGACCUUCGGGCCUCUUGCCAUCGGAUGUGCCCAGAUGGGAUUAGCUAGUAGGUGGGGUAACGGCUCACCUAGGCGACGAUCCCUAGCUGGUCUGAGAGGAUGACCAGCCACACUGGAACUGAGACACGGUCCAGACUCCUACGGGAGGCAGCAGUGGGGAAUAUUGCACAAUGGGCGCAAGCCUGAUGCAGCCAUGCCGCGUGUAUGAAGAAUGCCUUCGGGUUGUAAAGUACUUUCAGCGAGGAGGAAGGCGUUGUGGUUAAUAACCGCAGCGAUUGACGUUACUCGCAGAAGAAGCACCGGCUAACUCCGUGCCAGCAGCCGCGGUAAUACGGAGGGUGCAAGCGUUAAUCGGAAUUACUGGGCGUAAAGCGCACGCAGGCGGUCUGUCAAGUCGGAUGUGAAAUCCCCGGGCUCAACCUGGGAACUGCAUCCGAAACUGGCAGGCUAGAGUCUUGUAGAGGGGGGUAGAAUUCCAGGUGUAGCGGUGAAAUGCGUAGAGAUCUGGAGGAAUACCGGUGGCGAAGGCGGCCCCCUGGACAAAGACUGACGCUCAGGUGCGAAAGCGUGGGGAGCAAACAGGAUUAGAUACCCUGGUAGUCCACGCCGUAAACGAUGUCGACUUGGAGGUUGUGCCCUUGAGGCGUGGCUUCCGGAGCUAACGCGUUAAGUCGACCGCCUGGGGAGUACGGCCGCAAGGUUAAAACUCAAAUGAAUUGACGGGGGCCCGCACAAGCGGUGGAGCAUGUGGUUUAAUUCGAUGCAACGCGAAGAACCUUACCUACUCUUGACAUCCAGAGAACUUAGCAGAGAUGCUUUGGUGCCUUCGGGAACUCUGAGACAGGUGCUGCAUGGCUGUCGUCAGCUCGUGUUGUGAAAUGUUGGGUUAAGUCCCGCAACGAGCGCAACCCUUAUCCUUUGUUGCCAGCGGUUACGCCGGGAACUCAAAGGAGACUGCCAGUGAUAAACUGGAAGAACGUGGGGAUGACGUCAAGUCAUCAUGCCCCAUUACGAGUCGGGCUACACACGUGCUACAAUGGCAUAUACAAAGAGAAGCGACCUCGCGAGAGCAAGCGGACCUCAUAAAGUAUGUCGUAGUCCGGAUUGGAGUCUGCAACUCGACUCCAUGAAGUCGGAAUCGCUAGUAAUCGUGGAUCAGAAUGCCACGGUGAAUACGUUCCCGGGCCUUGUACACACCGCCCGUCACACCAUGGGAGUGGGUUGCAAAAGAAGUAGGUAGCUUAACCUUCGGGAGGGCGCUUACCACUUUGUGAUUCAUGACUGGGGUGAAGUCGUAACAAGGUAACCGUAGGGGAACCUGCGGUUGGAUCACCUCCUU
rnacentral:rRNA from 1 species